rnacentral:ncRNA from 2 species
AUAUGUAAUUUAAUACGAACUCAUAUAAUCCUGAUAAUUUGGUUCGGGAGUUUCUACGAAGCGGCCUUAACUGCUUAGCUAUGAGUGAAUAAUUUGCUGUU